CACUGAUAAGAAAAUCAACAAUCAGCAAAAUCGUUCACCAACUUGAAGAAGAACCUAGUUCUCACUUAGUAUGUUUUAGACUGCUUGUAAUAGGAAGGUUCUUGAGUUGUAAUGAGUAAAUUGUUCUAGUCUCAGUAUUCUAUUAGCUGAUUUAGGAAUCACGUCUUCAAGUUAGGGAACUCGAAGACUUGGGAACACUUAUCUUGGGAAGAUUUGUGUUUUUGUAGUAAUAGGAGUUAGAAGUUUUAAUUCCUUGUUUACAAGAAGUCUUGUAAUUGUGUUGAUUGUUGAGG
rnacentral:lncRNA from 1 species